rnacentral:tRNA from 1 species
GGGGGCGUAGCUCAGUUUGGGAGAGCGCCUGAAUGGCAUUCAGGAGGUCAGGGGUUCGAACCCCCUCGUCUCCACCA